rnacentral:rRNA from 1 species
UGGGGGAUAUUGCACAAUGGGGGGAACCCUGAUGCAGCGACGCCGCGUGGGUGAAGAAGUAUUUCGGUAUGUAAAGCCCUAUCAGCAGGGAAGAAAGAAAUGACAGUACCUGACUAAGAAGCCCCGGCUAACUACGUGCCAGCAGCCGCGGUAAUACGUAGGGGGCAAGCGUUAUCCGGAUUUACUGGGUGUAAAGGGAGCGUAGGCGGCCAUGUAAGUCAGAAGUGAAAGCCCGGGGCCCAACCCCGGGACUGCUUUUGAGACUGUGUGGCUGGAGUGUCGGAGGGGUAAGUGGAAUUCCUAGUGUAGCGGUGAAAUGCGUAGAUAUUAGGAGGAACACCAGUGGCGAAGGCGGCUUACUGGACGACCACUGACGCUGAGGCUCGAAAGCGUGGGGAGCAAACAGG